AUGGUGGGCGAAUGGCAGGAUCAUCUUCAUGGUUCUUGAGAUCAGGAGCAGCAUAUGCAGCAUGAGGAUGGAGAAAAAUGGCUGGGCUGUUCCUUCUCCUCCUCCUCCUCCUCCUCCCCAAGAACUCCUCAGUUUGUCCAUGCCUUUCAUGGGCUAAUUCCCUGGACUCCAGAAUCUCUGGGUGGGUGGGCUUAGGGAGGUAUGAAACAAACCGGCAAGUCAUAAAUCGGCAAUGGUGAGCUCCGGCAGGAGUCUA
rnacentral:sRNA from 1 species